AGGAUGAACGCUGGCGGCGUGCUUAACACAUGCAAGUCGAACGGUGAAGCAGGAGCUUGCUCUUGUGGAUCAGUGGCGAACGGGUGAGUAACACGUGAGUAACCUGCCCUUGACUCUGGGAUAAGCACUGGAAACGGUGUCUAAUACCGGAUACGACCUCCGAAGGCAUCUUCUGGAGGUGGAAAGAAUUUCGGUCAGGGAUGGACUCGCGGCCUAUCAGCUAGUUGGUGAGGUAAUGGCCCACCAAGGCGACGACGGGUAGCCGGCCUGAGAGGGUGACCGGCCACACUGGGACUGAGACACGGCCCAGACUCCUACGGGAGGCAGCAGUGGGGAAUAUUGCACAAUGGGCGCAAGCCUGAUGCAGCAACGCCGCGUGAGGGACGACGGCCUUCGGGUUGUAAACCUCUUUUAGUAGGGAAGAAGCGAAAGUGACGGUACCUGCAGAAAAGCACCGGCUAACUACGUGCCAGCAGCCGCGGU
rnacentral:rRNA from 1 species